rnacentral:lncRNA from 1 species
UACUCGAUGCAGCUUGUGACACACAGCUGAUUCCGGUGCCGUGUAAACCACAGGAGGUCGGGGCUGGCUUUUUGGUUUGUUCAUUAAUAUAAUUGCUUGCUUGUGUUAUCAGCAGUGAAGUGAUUUCGUUCGUGCUCAUUAGAUUCCAGAGUGGUUGCCAGUCUGUCUCUUCUCAUCUGCAGCUGAGAACUAUUUAUUUGAGGACGAUGUGCGCUUCUCUUCCAUGACUGUUUAAUGGCCAGGCAUUCAACCUCAGGCAGCUGAAGAGACUGCAAGUGACUCUCUGGGUUCUGCCACCUUCCAAAAGAGCUAGGAAGUCAGGGCACUCCUUGAACAGCUGGCUGUUCCUCCUGAGGCCUCUGAAGAGUAGCAGCAUGAGCCCAAGUUAAUUAACAUGGGAGGAGCAUGUAUAUUUUGUAUUGUUUUUUGUAAGUCCCUUUAAAAGCUUAUUUAGCAGAAAGGUGUCUAAUACUGUAACUGGGGGGGCGGGGGCGGGGAAUAAACCAAACAAUGGGAUCACACAUGCACACUGAGGACCAUUCUCAUUCCUACUUCUUAUUUGUCUGUGUGUACAGUCAUCCCAAAUUUCCUUUCUAUAGGGCAUUAUGUGCCUGGAAAAUUGUGGCUAUGAUAUUUCAAAGGGGACAAAGAGUGCUAUGCAUGUGUGUUCUGAUAUAUAGGUAUAUUCUUGCUGCAAACAGUUUUAGACAGAACUGGCACUGAGUUGGCCUUUGAUAGAAGCUUUGUGUGCCUGUAAUAAAUAGGUAAAGGUAAAGGUACCCCUGCCCGUACGGGCCAGUCGUGUCCGACUCUAGGGUUGCAUGCUCAUCUCGCUCUAGAGGCCGUGAGCCGGCGCCGUCCGAAGACACUUCCGGGUCACGUGGCCAGCAUGACGAAGCUGCAGCUGGCGAGCCAGCACCAGCGCAGCACACGGAAACGCCGUUUACCUUCCCGCUAUAAAGCGGUACCUAUUUAUCUACUUGCACUUAAGAGUGCUUUCGAACUGCUAGGUGGGCAGGAGCUGGGACCGAACGACGGGAGCUCACCCCGCCAUGGGGAUUCGAACCGCCGACCAUACGAUCAGCAAGUCCUAGGCACUGAGGUUUUACCCACAGCGCCACCUGCGUCCCCCUGUAAUAAAUAUAUACGUAUAUAUACAACCUAUGACUUGGGCCAUUUUGUCAUGGUGCUGGCCCUGCUUUCAGCUCCAGCAGUAAUAGUUUCAUCGCCACACACACAAAAUAAACCUCAGCUCCAGCCAAUCAGCAUUUAUGCUUCCAAUAAAACCCAGCAUUCUGGAUCAAGAGCCAUCAAUACGAUGUCAUACAGCCACAGCCAGAUUAUAGCAUUAGCAGAGGAAAUGGGGCCUCGUGUAUUCCUUGAGAGGCUGCUAAAAUAGGAUGAGGUUUCUGUGGUGCCAUUUGCGUUCUGUCUCAAAACAGAUCGGCAGAGUUAUAGGCUUCAAAGGGGGCCAUGCUGAAGAAAGCAAAUAUCAGCCAUUGUGGGCUUUAGCAGGGGGAGGCCAUAAAUGUUAGGUGGCUGCUUUAAAUAGAGGGUAUCCUGCCUUGGGGCAGGAGUUGAACUGUCUGGCUUAUAGGCUUGGUUCAGAUGCUAUAAUGUUUUCCAUACUGAGUCUUCCAAACACCCAUCAGUGUGGUCAUUCUGAGUCAGACAUUGCUUCCUCCAUGCGACCACUUCCACUGGGAUGCUCAGCAGGGAUAACUUUGCAGGUUCCGAACUGGACCACAAACAUCCAUCCCAUGUGUCUGGCACAAAGUUGGGCUUUGGAACCUCCGCUUUUAUUUUUACUUCAAAAAAUAUAUUUCUAGUUCUUAGGGCAGCGGGUAGUUAGAAAAAGAGAAAAAGAUCAGAAGCCAGACAUUGUUUGAGCAGAUUGAUUCUUUUGGUACUUUUAUAUCCCUGCAUCCAUCUUGGUUGAUUUGUCCCCCUUUAUCCACUGCUUUUUUUAAAGUGCCCAGCUUGGAAAACCGAUUUAGACCGAGGUUUGGCAUGGAAUAGAACAUCAGAAAAUUGCCCUCGGUUAGAUCCUGUUGCAUUGCGCGGACAUGUCAGCUUGCUGGAAAUUGCAGCCAUUGUGAAUGAAACCAAAUCAAAAUGUUGCUUCUCCUGAGUUCUGCGGUGCCAGGGUCAAUUUUCCUUUUCCUUUGGAGAGAGUUUGCUAACUUGUGUUAAAAAAAUCAUCUAUGUUAUCUAGUUCCUAACCUGACUUCUUCACUAUAUGAAAGAUUGUGAGAUGAAGUCCUAGUUUGACAGGCUCCUCGCUGUCACGGACUAACACCCAAUUUCAUGACUUGCCAGUCACCCAUUAUUUCACUGCUACAGAGACUUCUGUCUCUAUGGAGGCAGAUUUAGCUUGGCAAAUCACCUUUUAUUAGAUCUUAAUGGCUAAUGUCCACUAGAAAAUGACAACCAUUGCUGGCUUUUCAUUAUUGUCGUACUCGCAGGCACAGGCUGUAAUCUGAGCAGGCAGACUGGUCCAAAUUAGGUUUCCUGUUAGAGAAGGGGCACACACAGGCCUGAAUUCACAUGGGAGCUAAAACUGAAUACAGAGACAUGAGCCUGAGAAAGUUAAAUCACACCAUUCUGUAUUUUAGGAGAAUGAGAGUACAGUCGUACCACAGAAAUCGAACGCCUUGUGAGUCAAACGUUUUGGCUCCCAAACACCGCAAACCCAGAAGUGAGUGUUCUGGUUUGCGAAUGUUCUUUGGAACCCGAAUGCCUGGCACGGGUUCCAUGGGUUUUGAUUGGCUGCAGGAGCUUCCUGCAGCCAAUCGGAAGCCGCACCUUGGCUUCCAAACUUUUUGAAAGUCGAACAGACUUCCAGAACAGAUUCCAUUCGACUUCUGAGGUACAACUGUAUUACCGUUUUUAGUUCUCAACUAAACAAUGUGCAUAGAUGCAGUUACCAAAAAUGUUUGAAAAUGUGUACACUCCACCAUCCCUGCCCAUGUUGGCUGGAACUUCUGGACAUUGUAGGCUGAAGGAUUUGGAAAAUAUCAAGGUGGGGGAAGGUUGUUUAGACCGUGUCCCAGGUAUUUUAGCUCUUCAAUGAUAAAUACCUGAACCUAUUCUACAAGCCCCAUUUCUGCUCUUCCUGAUACUUUACUGCAAAACUGAUCACUGUCCAGUUUGUUUAUAGUUCUGAAAAUAAAAUAAAAUAAAAUCAUAACAAGUCGUUGAUCAACUUAUCAUGAUCACUUUGAUCUGGAGGUGGUAAAAAAAAAUCAGAUAUGUAUGCAAUUUUGUUGCAUUUGAAAUUUAUUUAUUUAUUAAAUUUUUAUACUGCCCUUCAUCUGAGGAUCAUGGGGUUGCGUACAAUAUAAAAACACAUAAAUGCAUACCAUAGUAACAAACAAAACAACAACCCCCACUAUUGAAUCAAUAAUGCUUGAAUGGCUAUUAAAAAUUCUGCAAAACCUUUGGCCCAAGUGUGAAAUGUAUGUCACUUCAGGUGGGUGGGAGCUCACAUGCUUCCCCAUGCUCCUCCAUAUUGGGAGUGCUUGAGAAAAUACUUUUCUGUGAAUUCCAAGGCAAACUGGCAUGAUCGCCACCUCCUAAUCUGCAGACUGAAGCACAAUUAUCCUUUGGAUUUCCCAUUUGUCUGAAUUUCGCAAUAUAGUUCUCCAUUCAAAAAAAUACGCAGGCAUGUGUUUAACAUCCUAACACGCAUAUUUUAGGAUAAAUUAAGUUUGGAACUAAUACAUUGAGAUAGACAAGUAUUUAAAUAUUAUUUUCUGUUUGGAUUUUUUUAAAAUGCAGUUUAAUGCAGGAACAGAACUUACGAUGCAAAAUUUGCAUGGACUAGAAACUGCCAGACCCAACCAUCCCUGUCUCCAUACC